rnacentral:rRNA from 1 species
AUUGAACGCUGGCGGCAUGCCUUACACAUGCAAGUCGAACGGUAACGGGCCUUCGGGUGCCGACGAGUGGCGAACGGGUGAGUAAUGUAUCGGAACGUACCUUUCAGUGGGGGAUAACGUAGCGAAAGUUACGCUAAUACCGCAUAUUCUGUGCGCAGGAAAGCAGGGGAUCGCAAGACCUUGCGCUGAUUGAGCGGCCGAUAUCAGAUUAGCUAGUUGGUGAGGUAAAGGCUCACCAAGGCGACGAUCUGUAGCGGGUCUGAGAGGAUGAUCCGCCACACGGUAACGGAGACACGGUCCAGACCCCUCCGGGAGGCACCGGUGGGGACUUUUGGACAAUGGGGGCAACCCUGUUCCAGUCCUGCCGCGUGAGUGAAGAAGGCCUUCGGGUUGUAAAGCUCUUUCGGCCGGGAAGAAAUCGUAUCAGCUAAUACCUGGUGCGGAUGACGGUACCGGCAUAAGAAGCACCGGCUAACUACGUGCCAGCCGCCGCAGUAAAAC